GCACACACCCACACGCGCGCGUCACCCUCAUCCCGGCGGUGUGUUUCUGAAAAGCGCUGUCUACGUGGGCAGGAAAGGGCCGUAUCGCAUCUGCUGGUGCAACAAAAGCUUUAAACGUUUCUAUGAAUUAUGUCCCACGAGCCUCCUUCUAUUCCAAUGUAUGCAUGACAGAAGUUGUCUUUCACUAUCUCCCAGGGCUUCACAGUCAUUUUCACACCACACACUGAUGGGGUAUUAGCACUUUAAUGGAUUUAAAAAACAAAAAAAAAAGGUGUUAUAAUUCAUUUAAACCAUUUCUAUGCUUGUAAGAAAACGCAUGGGAUGAAGUUUAACUAAUCAGAGCGGUUAUGAUGGAGGAGAUUAGAUGGGAACUGCAACACUGCCCCCUGGUGGCAGGCUCUGCUCGCAGCUCACGGUGUGGAUUUUGUUGAUAAGACUCAUGCUUUGUUCCUCUGCCAUCUUUGAGUAAGCGUGUGGCAAGCUAAAAGUUGCAUUUCUUUAUUUAUUUAUAAAGCUCAUUUCAUUUAACCUCAUUUGCAUCUGUGUAUGUUACAAUUAAGAUAUACAUGGAUUUAGCACAGUACGUUUAAAGUAAAUGGAUCAAUAGUUACAUUUU